CAUUGGGGUCACUCAGGGGUCACCCAGGGGUCACUCAGGGGUCAUUGAGGUCACUCAGGGGUCACCCAGGGGUCACUCAGGGGUCAACCAGGGGUCACUCAGGGGUCACUCAGGGUCACUCAGGGGUCACUCAGGGGUCAUUGAGGUCAACCGGGGGUCACUCAGGGGUCACUCAGGGUCACUCAGAGGUCAUUGGGGUCACUCAGGGUCGCUCAGAGGUCACUCAGGGGUCAAAGGUCACUCAGGGGUCACUCAGGGGUCAUUGAGGUCACUCAGGGUCAUUCAGGGGUCACUCAGGGGUCAAAGGUCACUCCG